GACGAACGCUGGCGGCGUGCUUAACACAUGCAAGUCGAACGGAAAGGCCCUGCUUUUGUGGGGUGCUCGAGUGGCGAACGGGUGAGUAACACGUGAGUAACCUGCCCUUGACUUUGGGAUAACUUCAGGAAACUGGGGCUAAUACCGGAUAGGAGCUCCUGCUGCAUGGUGGGGGUUGGAAAGUUUCGGCGGUUGGGGAUGGACUCGCGGCUUAUCGGCUUGUUGGUGGGGUAGUGGCUUACCAAGGCUUUGACGGGUAGCCGGCCUGGGAGGGUGACCGGCCACAAUGGGACUGAGAUACGGACCAGACUCCUAUGGGAGGCAGCAGUGGGGAAUAUUGCACAAUGGGCGGAAGCCUGAUGCAGCAACGCCGCGUGCGGGAUGACGGCCUUCGGGUUGUAAACCGCUUUCGCCUGUGACGAAGCGUGAGUGACGGUAAUGGGUAAAGAAGCACCGGCUAACUACGUG
rnacentral:rRNA from 1 species